rnacentral:lncRNA from 1 species
UGUUUCUUAUUAGAGUAUUUGUUUUAUGUUUGCUUAACUUCUUCAUCUGAUGCAUGAAACUUGAAAAACAUUUGAAUUGCAUACUUCGGUGUAGCAUUUUUCUGGAGAGUAAAAUGCGUUGGAGGUCCUAUAAGUAUCACUGGUAUGCCAAAUUAGUCCUAAUAAUAUAAAAGUGCAUAUUAGGUCCAGAAAGUAUAUAAAUGAGUCACCUGAGGUCCCAAAUCAACCAGCUCAUCUUUGACCUGCAUAUGUGGACCUCCACCACGUUGAAGGAGUGCAGCCACCUCAUCUUCUCCAACUCCUGCGAGAUAUUGGUCGCCAGAUUUUGCUGCGUGUUCUUCGGUAUAUUGCAGUUACUAGUGAAAUGCUAGCUUGGUGCCAUUUUGUACUUCCAUUUUGUAUGUUGAUACCAAGCUGACUGCUGCAUCGGUUUUCCUUACAAUUUGUUAAUCAGUAAACAUGUAGUAUAUAUGUCCAAAUUUGAGUUAUACGUUCUGUGCUAAUGAAUGAGAUAAUGUAUAUUUCAGAUCUUACUAGCCUACAUAGGGAUUCCACGAUAUGAAGGACCUGAGGUUGAUCCCACUAUAGUGACACAUGAUGCGAAGGACCUGUACAAAGCUGGUGAGAAAAAGCUGGGAACAGAUGAGAAAACCUUCAUCCGGAUCUUCACUGAACGCAGUUGGGCACACAUGGCAGCUGUUGCUUCU